AGAAUCAAUGCCUAUCAAGACACC
rnacentral:siRNA from 1 species